AAUCUAUGGGGUGGGAACUUCCUUAGCAUUGACUUGAAAUGAUCUUAUGCUUCGUACAAGGAUUCACCUUCAUAUUUCUUAAAAUUGGUGAUUUCUCGCCUAAGUUG
rfam:Gossypium raimondii chromosome 8, whole genome shotgun sequence.